rnacentral:lncRNA from 1 species
UCGGAGAGAAGGACAAGGAUAUGAAGAGAGGGGAGCAGGCCAAGAGUUCUCAGACAGUUUCUUUGAUUCAAUUUGUGUUGCCUAAUUGUUUAAUUUUGAUCUCGAAUUCAUCCUCAGGGUUUUUACAAUUCAAUAAAUGACAGAGCUUGUUUAAUUAUGUUGGUCGCCUACAAUCCCCAGUCAUCUCUGUCAUACUACACCCUGCAGUCACAAUCCGUCGCGGAUUAUACUUGUUCAUUUUUCUCGCUAAAAUGUGGAAGUUACAAGGGUAUGAUGAUGAUAUGAUGUACAACCGUUUAUGAAAUUGAUGCAUCGUGCUCUGCUCUUGUGGAUGAUGGUAUUCGUUUAAAGCAUCUUGCGGAUAGGAUAACUUUUUAAGACUUGUGACCGAGUUUUAUAGGUUUAUUUGGUAUUUAAAACAUUUAAUAAAUGGUCUCAUCGGUUUUUUUU